rfam:Stegodyphus mimosarum contig10178, whole genome shotgun sequence.
ACUUUCGUGGUGUGACGGUAGCACACUCGGAUAGUAACCAAGAGGUCCAGGUUCGAAUCCCGGCGAAGGUA